rnacentral:rRNA from 1 species
ACUGCUGGAAUAUUGACGGUACCUAACCAGAAAGCCCCGGCUAACUCUGUGCCAGCACCCGCGGUAAUACAUAGGGGGCGAGCGUUGUUCGGAAUUAUUGGGCGUAAAGCGCGCGCAGGCGGUCCUUUAAGUCUCAUGUGAAACUCCCGGGCUUCACUCUGGAGGGUCAUUGGAAACUGUGGGACUUGAGUGCUGGAGAGAGGAGUGGAAUUCCCCGUGUAGCGGUGAAAUGCGUAGAGAUCUGGAGGAACACCCGUGGCGAGAGAGGCUCUCUGGCCUAUAACUGACGCUGAGGCGCGAAAGCUCGGGGAGCACACACGAUUAGAUACCCUGGUAGUCCCCGCCCUAAACGAUGAGUACUAGGUGUNGGAGGUUUUCAACCCUUCAGUGCCGCAGCUAA